rnacentral:rRNA from 1 species
GUGUCAGCCGCCGCGGUAAUACGUAAGGGGCAAGCGUUGUCCGGAAUCACUGGGCGUAAAGCGCACGUAGGCGGCUUGGCAAGUCAGGGGUGCAAGCUCCAGGCUUAACCUGGAAAUUGCCUCUGAAACUACCUCGCUUGAGGGUCAGAGGGGAAACUGGAAUUCACGGUGUAGCGGUGAAAUGCGUAGAUAUCGUGGAGAACACCCGUGGCGAAGGCGGGUUUCUGGCUGAUCACUGACGCUGAGGUGCGAAAGCUAGGGGAGCGAACGGGAUUAGAAACCCUCGUAGUCC